AUUGAACGCUGGCGGCAGGCCUAACACAUGCAAGUCGAACGGUAACAGGAAGCAGCUUGCUGCUUUGCUGACGAGUGGCGGACGGGUGAGUAAUGUCUGGGAAACUGCCCGUUGGAGGGGGAUAACUACUGGAAACGGUAGCUAAUACCGCAUAACGUCGCAAGACCAAAGAGGGGGACCUUAGGGCCUCUUGCCAUCGGAUGUGCCCAGAUGGGAUUAGCUAGUAGGUGGGGUAACGGCUCACCUAGGCGACGAUCCCUAGCUGGUCUGAGAGGAUGACCAGCCACACUGGAACUGAGACACGGUCCAGACUCCUACGGGAGGCAGCAGUGGGGAAUAUUGCACAAUGGGCGCAAGCCUGAUGCAGCCAUGCCGCGUGUAUGAAGAAGGCCUUCGGGUUGUAAAGUACUUUCAGCGGGGAGGAAGGGAGUAAAGUUAAUACCUUUGCUCAUUGACGUUACCCGCAGAAGAAGCACCGGCUAACUCCGU
rnacentral:rRNA from 1 species